rnacentral:rRNA from 1 species
CAUAAUGGAGAGUUUGAUCCUGGCUCAGAAUGAAACCUGGCGGUGUGCCUAACACAUGCAAGUCAAACGACAAAUUUUUUUGGAGUGGCGGACGGGUGAGUAACACGUAAGAACCUACCUUUAGGAGGGGGAUACCAUCCCGGGAAACUGGUGCUAAUACCCCAUAUGCUGAGAAGUGAAAAGGUAUUUAACCGCCUAGAGAGGGGCUUGCGGCUGAUUAGCUAGUUGGUGGGGUAAUGGCCUCCCAAGGCGACGAUCAGUAGCUGGUUUGAGAGGAUGAUCAGCCACACUGGGACUGAGACACGGCCCAGACUCCUACGGGAGGCAGCAGUGAGGAAUUUUCCGCAAUGGGCGAAAGCCUGACGGAGCAAUACCGCGUGGAGGAAAAAGAAGACCCGUGGGUCGUAAACUCCUUUUCUCAGAGAAGAACACUGACGGUAUCUGAGGAAUAAGCACCGGCUAACUAUGUGCCAGCAGCCGCGGUAAUACAUGGGGUGCGAGGUUUAUUCGGAAUGAUUGGGCGUAAAGCGUUCGUAGGUGGUUUCACGAAGUCCACUGUCAAAGAUCAGGGCUUAACCUUGGGCAGGCAGUGGAAACUCGGAAACUCGAGUCAGGUGGGGGCUGAAGGAAUCAACAGCGUAACAGUGAAAUGUGUAGAUAUUGUUGAGAACACCGAUGGAGAAAUCAUUCAGCUGGGCCAUGACUGACACUGAGGGACGACAGCUAGGGGAGCAAAAAGGAUUAGAUACCCUUGUAGUCCUAGCCGUAAACGAUGGAGACUAAGUGCUGUCAAAAAACAGUGCUGUAGCUAACGCGUUAAGUCUCCCGCCUGGGGAGUAUGCUGGCAACAGUGAAACUCAAAGGAAUUGACGGGGGCCAGCACAAGAGGUGGAUUAUGUGGUUUAAUUUGAUGCUACGCGGAGAACCUUACCAGGGAUUGAACUGCCAAGAAAGAUCCAGAGAUGGGUCUGUGCCCGAAAGGGAACUUGGACAGAGGUGGUGCACGGCUGUCGUCAGCUCGUGAUGCGAAUUGUCAGGUUAAGUCCUUGAACGAGCGUAACCCUUGUUUUCAGUUGCCCGAAAGGGAACUCUGGAAAAACUGCCGAUGUAAAUCGGAGGAAGGAGAGGAUGACGUCAAGUCAGCAUGCCCCUUAUAUCCUGGGCUACACACGUAAUACAAUGGUCGAGACAGCGAGACGCUACCCCGUAAGGGCACGCUAAUCUCUCAAACUCGGCCUCAAUUCGAAUUGUGUUCUGCAACUCGAACACAUGAAGCCGGAAUCUCUAGUAAUCGCCAAUCAGCUAUGUGGCGGUGAAUACGUUCCCUGGCCUUGUACACACCGCCCGUCAAAUGGAGGGAGUGAGCUUCGCUCGAAGCCGUUCAGACUAACCUACAAGGAUGUCAACGUCUACAGCGCGGCUUGUGACUUCUAUUAAGUCGUAACAAGGUAUCCGUACUGGAAGGUGCGGAUGGAAAACCUCCUUC